UACGGAGGGGGCUAGCGUUAUUCGGAAUUACUGGGCGUAAAGCGCACGUAGGCGGAUUAGAAAGUCAGAGGUGAAAUCCCCGGGCUCAACCUUGGAACUGCCUUUGAAACUUCUAGUCUUGAGUUCGAGAGGGGUGAGUGGAAUUCCGAGUGUAGAGGUGAAAUUCGUAGAUAUUCGGAGGAACACCAGUGGCGAGGGCGGCUCACCGGCUC
rnacentral:rRNA from 1 species